GGAGUAGCUCAGUUGGUAGAGCAUCGGUCUCCAAAACCGAGUGUCGGGAGUUCGAGCCUCUCCUC
rnacentral:tRNA from 1 species